rnacentral:pre_miRNA from 7 species
UGUUCAUAGUGAAAGAUCCCCAAAGGGAGACCCUCACUCAAGCCUCGGGAUGUGGCGCGGACCCAAGAGAGACAAGGAGACCG